GGGAUACCCGAGGGAAACUUCGGUUAAUACGGUAUAAGACCACACUACCGCAUGGUAGAGGGGUAAAAGGGGCAACCUGGUAUGAGAUGGACUCGCGUCGCAUUAGCUAGUUGGUGAGGUAACGGCCCACCAAGGCGACGAUGCGUAGCCGACCUGAGAGGGUGAUCGGCCACAUUGGGACUGAGAUACGGCCCAGACUCCUACGGGAGGCAGCAGUGGGGAAUAUUGGGCAAUGGAGGAAACUCUGACCCAGCAGUGCCGCGUGAAUGAAGAAGGUCUUCGGAUUGUAAAGUUCUUUAGUCAGGGAAGAAGUCAAUGACGGUACCUGAAGAAUAAGCUCCGGCUAACUACGUGCCAGCAGCCGCGGUAAUACGUAGGGAGCAAGCGUUGUUCGGAAUGACUGGGCGUAAAGGGUGCGUAGGCGGUUGUACAAGUUAGAAGUGAAAUACCCAGGGCUUAACUCGGGUGCUGCUUCUAAAACUGUAUGACUUGAGUGCAGUAGAGGUUAGUGGAAUUCCUAGUGUAGCGGUGGAAUGCGUAGAUAUUAGGAGGAACACCAGAGGCGAAGGCGGCUAACUGGACUGCAACUGACGCUGAGGCACGAAAGUGUGGGGAGCAAACAGGAUUAGAUACCCUGGUAGUCCACACUGUAAACGAUGGAUACUAGAUGUAGGAGGUAUCGACUCCUUCUGCGUCGCAG
rnacentral:rRNA from 1 species